AUGGGAGAUCAUCUCUGGGUGGC
rnacentral:piRNA from 1 species